GCGGAUCCCAGCGGCGGUCGUGUAGCUGAGCAGGCCUGGGGCUUGGUUCUAUGUCCCUGUAGCUAUGUUUCCAGUGUCCUCUGGGUGUUUCCAAGAGCAACAAGAAACGAAUAAAUCUCUGACCCUUCUCAGGUGCAGCCAGAGAGACACUAGCCCACUGAUGGACGGACAGACGUGGGCAGGGUCCGUGUCACUAAACCACCCACCACUGCCACAGCUGCCUACAACAGACACAUCAGAUGACACUCCGGGCAUAUAAAUGAUUUUCACUGAGGACUUACUGGUUUUAAUAAUAGGUCCUGGUGUAGAGAAGUCCCUCAACCUAUUGUGCAAUGAGUUUUGAGAAGCGGAGAGGUGCCCAGUGAAUGCAGGUUCCAGACAAAAGGUGGAGCCUGGCAUCCUGCCCUGCAUGGGCUCCAGCCUGCUGCCAUCUGGGGAAACUGAGUCAUGGCGAGGCUCAAGGAUGUUUCUCAGACCACACCAGUCCCUGAAGGUCCGCUGACCUCCCAAUCUUGACGGACAGUGAGAAGAGGUUCCCAGGCCACCUGCAAUAGGUUCUGGCUCGGCCUGGGUUGGGCCCCGCAGCGCCUCCACCCCAGAGACCCGGACCAAGUUCACACAGGACAAUCUGUGCCACGCCCAGCGCGAGCGCCUGGACUCGGCCAACCUGUGGGUGCUGGUGGACUGCAUCCUUCGCGACACCUCCGAGGACCUGGGACUCCAGUGUGACGCCGUGAACCUGGCCUUCGGGCGCCGCUGUGAGGAACUGGAGGACGCGCGGCACAAGCUGCAGCACCACCUGCACAAGAUGCUGCGGGAAAUCACAGAUCAGGAACACAACGUGGUGGCACUGAAGGAGGCCAUCAAGGACAAGGAGGAACCUCUGCACAUAGCCCAGACCCGGCUGUAGUUGCUCUCACACCGGCCCAACAUGCAGCUGUGCCGCGAUGCAGCCCAGUUCAGGUGCUGAGAGGGGAGGGAGACUCUGCGGCCACACACAACAUGCAAGCACGCCUUAAACACACAGAUAUAGACAUGACACUGGGCAGGUCAUGGGUCGGGGGCCUCCCCGUGCCAGGGACCUGUGCCCACGUGGUCUCACCCCACCCUGUGCUACCUCAUCUUCCCGGGAGGAAGCUCCUUCAGACAAGCUGGUGAGUGAGGUGGAGGAGCUGUACAAGUCCAUCACAGCGCUGCGGGAGAAGCUUCUACAAGCGGAGCAGUCCCUGCGCAACCUCAAGGACAUCCACAUGAGCCUGGAGAAGGACGUCACUGCCAUGACCAACAGUCUCUUCAUCGACCGCCAGAAGUGCAUGGCCCAUCGUACUUGCUACCCCACCAUUCUGCAGCUGGCUGGCUACCAGUGAGCAGCGGCACGGUGCUUCCCCCCAAUCCCCCAAAUAAACAGUGCGUU
rnacentral:lncRNA from 1 species